AUUGAACGCUGGCGGCAUGCCUUACACAUGCAAGUCGAACGGUAACAGGUCUUCGGAUGCUGACGAGUGGCGAACGGGUGAGUAAUACAUCGGAACGUGCCCAGUAGUGGGGGAUAACUACUCGAAAGAGUGGCUAAUACCGCAUGAGAUCUACGGAUGAAAGCAGGGGAUCGCAAGACCUUGUGCUACUAGACCGGCCGAUGGCAGAUUAGGUAGUUGGUGGGAUAAAAGCUUACCAGGCCGACGAUCUGUAGCUGGUCUGAGAGGACGAUCAGCCACACUGGGACUGAGACACGGCCCAGACUCCUACGGGAGGCAGCAGUGGGGAAUUUUGGACAAUGGGCGCAAGCCUGAUCCAGCAAUGCCGCGUGCAGGAUGAAGGCCUUCGGGUUGUAAACUGCUUUUGUACGGAACGAAAAGCCCUGGGUUAAUACCCUGGGGUCAUGACGGUACCGUAAGAAUAAGCACCGGCUAACUACGUGCCAGCAGCCGCGGUAAAAC
rnacentral:rRNA from 1 species